rnacentral:rRNA from 1 species
GAUGAACGCUGGCGGCGUGCCUAAUACAUGCAAGUCGAGCGAACGGACGAGAAGCUUGCUUCUCUGAUGUUAGCGGCGGACGGGUGAGUAACACGUGGAUAACUACCUAUAAGACUGGGAUAACCUUCGGAAACCCGAACUUAUACCGGAUAAUAUUUUGAACCGCAUGGUUCAAAAGUUAAAGAAGGUUUUUCCUUUCCUUUUAGAUUGGACCGCGCUGCAUUAGCUAGUUGGUAAGGUAACGGCUUACCAAGGCAACGAUGCAUAGCCGACCUGAGAGGGUGAUCGGCCACACUGGAACUGAGACACGGUCCAGACUCCUACGGGAGGCAGCAGUAGGGAAUCUUCCGCAAAGGGCGAAAGCCUGACGGAGCAACGCCGCGUGAGUGAUGAAGGUCUUCGGAUCGUAAAACUCUGUUAUUAGGGAAGAACAUAUGUGUAAGUAACUGUGCACAUCUUGACGGUACCUAAUCAGAAAGCCACGGCUAACUACGUG